AGAGUUUGAUCAUGGCUCAGAACGUACGCUGGCGGCACGCCUAACACAUGCAAGUCGAACGAAGUAGCAAUACUUAGUGGCAGACGGGUGAGUAACAUGUGGGUAUCUGCCCUUUGGCCUGGAAUAACACGAGGAAACUUGUGCUAAUACCGGAUAAGUCUUUACGGAGAAAGCUUUAUGCACCAUUGGAUGAGCCCGCACUUGAUUAGUUUGUUGGUGGGGUAAUGGCCUACCAAGACUGUGAUCAAUAGCUGAUUUGAGAGGAUGAUCAGCCACAUUGGGACUGAGACACGGCCCAAACUCCUACGGGAGGCAGCAGUGGGGAAUCUUGCACAAUGGAGGAAACUCUGAUGCAGCGAUGCCGCGUGAGUGAAGAAGGCCCUUGGGUUGUAAAGCUCUUUCGUCGGGGAAGAAAAUGACUGUACCCGAAUAAGAAGGUCCGGCUAACUUCGUGCCAGCAGCCGCGGUAAUACGAAGGGACCUAGCGUAGUUCGGAAUUACUGGGCUUAAAGAGUUCGUAGGUGGUUGAAAAAGUUGGUGGUGAAAUCCCAGAGCUUAACUCUGGAACUGCCAUCAAAACUUUUCAGCUAGAGUAUGAUAGAGGAAAGCAGAAUUUCUAGUGUAGAGGUGAAAUUCGUAGAUAUUAGAAAGAAUACCAAUUGCGAAGGCAGCUUUCUGGAUCAUUACUGACACUGAGGAACGAAAGCAUGGGUAGCGAAGAGGAUUAGAUACCCUCGUAGUCCAUGCCGUAAACGAUGUGUGUUAGACGUUGGAAAUUUAUUUUCAGUGUCGCAGCGAAAGCGAUAAACACACCGCCUGGGGAGUACGACCGCAAGGUUAAAACUCAAAUGAAUUGACGGGGACCCGCACAAGUAGUGGAGCAUGUGGUUUAAUUCGAAGAUACGCGCAGAACCUUACCAACACUUGACAUGUUCGUCGCGACUUUAAGAGAUUAAAGUUUUCGGUUCGGCCGGACGAAACACAGGUGCUGCAUGGCUGUCGUCAGCUCGUGUCGUGAGAUGUUGGGUUAAGUCCCGCAACGAGCGCAACCCUCACUUUUAGUUGCCAUCAUUAAGUUGGGCACUCUGAAAGAACUGUCAGUGAUAAGCUGGAGGAAGGUGGGGAUGACGUCAAGUCCUCAUGGCCCUUACGUGUUGGGCUACACACGUGCUACAAUGGUAUCUACAACAGGAAGCAAGACUGCGAAGUUAAGCAAAUCCCUAAAAGAUACCUCAGUUCGGAUUGCACUCUGCAACUCGAGUGCAUGAAGCUGGAAUUACUAGUAAUCGUGGAUCAGCGUGCCACGGUGAAUGCGUUCCCGGGUCUUGUACACACCGCCCGUCACACCAUGGGAGUUGGUUCUACCUUAAGGCAAGGUUUAAAACCCUUGACCACGGUAUAGUCAGCGACUGGGGUGAAGUCGUAACAAGGUA
rnacentral:rRNA from 1 species